UUUUCACCAAGACCGCCUUAUCCCCCCGCCCCCCCAAAACUUCCCUCUGUAUUAUUUCACAACCAUCGGUCCCAUUUUUCAUUGGUAAAUUCAUAUGUCAAUUGAACGCAAAAAAGCCCGUACCAGAAUACUUCUCAUCAGCUUCGUCUUCGUGUUAAUUAAACAUUGGUCAACUGUAUGCCGACGUUUGGAUUAAGGCGUCUGUAUUGAUAUAAAUUAUACACGUUCCGGUGGCGUUGGGAGCAGCGGGAGUGCCGCCGGUGGUGGCUGAGUAAUACGCGAGUAUAUAUUUUGGGAAAUCAGUUGCACGGAGAGAUUUAUCAGUUAGAAUCAGAUGUUAGGGUUUCCGUUGAGUGCAAAACUGGAAAUAUGGUGAGGGUUUAGCUUGAGAAAAGCCAUUUGAUUAAUCAUACGACUGGAAAAGAGUACGCAUUGAAGCCUAUUGGUGAUGUUGGACCUCUGAUUGAAGCUGGUGGGAUUUCCACUUAAGCUCGAAAAGAUGGGAUAGCUCCCGCUUAGCAACUUAAGAUUAAUGGAAAUGUGGUCUCUCUUGGUCUAUGAUUAAGCCAAUAUAAACUCGCCAUGAAUUAUCAUGAAUAUAAGUGAUGUAGGUCCUGGAUAUUAUCAAAAAGAGUAUUAUUAUAAUUUGAUUGUUAUAUUACAUUUGGAGACGAUUUGGCUGAUUUAAAAUAAUUUGUAUUGUUUUAUGUUU